AUGCCGCGUGCAGGAAGAUGCCCUAUGGGUAGUAAACUGCUUUUAUACGGGAAGAAAAAAGAGUACGUGUACUCUACUGACGGUACCGUAAGAAUAAGGACCGGCUAACUCCGUGCCAGCAGCCGCGGUAAUACGGAGGGUCCGAGCGUUAUCCGGAAUUAUUGGGUUUAAAGGGUCCGUAGGCGGGCCGAUAAGUCAGGGGUGAAAGUUUGCAGCUCAACUGUAAAAUUGCCUUUGAUACUGUUGGUCUUGAGUUAUAGUGAAGUUGCCGGAAUAUGUAGUGUAGCGGUGAAAUGCAUAGAUAUUACAUAGAACACCGAUUGCGAAGGCAGGUGACUAACUAUAUACUGACGCUGAUGGACGAAAGCGUGGGGAGCGAACAGGAUUAGAUACCCUGGUAGUCCAUCAGCGUCAGUAUAUAGUUAGUCACCUGCCUUCGCAAUCGGUGUUCUAUGUAAUAUCUAUGCAUUUCACCGCUACACUACAUAUUCCGGCAACUUCACUAUAACUCAAGACCAACAGUAUCAAA
rnacentral:rRNA from 1 species